ACGGAGGGUGCAAGCGUUGUCCGGAUUUAUUGGGUUUAAAGGGUGCGUAGGCGGAUUUUUAAGUCAGUGGUGAAAUGCUUCAGCUCAACUGGAGACGUGCCAUUGAAACUGAAAAUCUUGAGUGAAGUCGAGGUAGGCGGAAUUGAUGGUGUAGCGGUGAAAUGCAUAGAUAUCAUCAAGAACACCGAUAGCGUAGGCAGCUUACUAGACUUCAACUGACGCUGAUGCACGAAAGCGUGGGGAGCGAACAGG
rnacentral:rRNA from 1 species